GAUGAACGCUGGCGGCGUGCCUAAUACAUGCAAGUCGAGCGAACAGACGAGGAGCUUGCUCCUCUGACGUUAGCGGCGGACGGGUGAGUAACACGUGGAUAACCUACCUAUAAGACUGGGAUAACUUCGGGAAACCGGAGCUAAUACCGGAUAAUAUAUUGAACCGCAUGGUUCAAUAGUGAAAGACGGUUUUGCUGUCACUUAUAGAUGGAUCCGCGCCGCAUUAGCUAGUUGGUAAGGUAACGGCUUACCAAGGCAACGAUGCGUAGCCGACCUGAGAGGGUGAUUGGCCACACUGGAACUGAGACACGGUCCAGACUCCUACGGGAGGCAGCAGUAGGGAAUCUUCCGCAAUGGGCGAAAGCCUGACGGAGCAACGCCGCGUGAGUGAUGAAGGUCUUCGGAUCGUAAAACUCUGUUAUUAGGGAAGAACAAAUGUGUAAGUAACUAUGCACGUCUUGACGGUACCUAAUCAGAAAGCCACGGCUAACUACGUGC
rnacentral:rRNA from 1 species